AUUCAAACUUAUCAAGCAUAACUAAGGUUGUUUGGGACCUCUCCAUUAAUUGCCAGCUCCUUAAGAUCUGUAAAUCUUCCCUGAGAAUGCUAGAAGAGAUAUGAUCUGUAUUAGAGAUGAUGUAACACACAAGAUAGCAAAAAUGUAUCUCCUUGAAAUAGAAUUAUAUAUAUAAUUGUAGAAUUUCCCUCAUUUCAUACAUUUUCCUCAGUUUUCAAGGAUGUUUCCUUUAAUAUCAAAUCUAAGCAGUUGGAUUUAUAUGCAGUAAGCCCUCAAUGAUACUCAUGCCUCCUCCAUCUUUACCUGUCUGCUGUGAUUAACUCCUUAAUCUCCCAUGAUCUGAGGCCUUUUCCUGAUCUCUUUCCCAUCUUCCUCCUCUCAUUAGACUUGAGGCUGAAAAGGAUGAUUAACCGUCUCGUAACUAUGUGGAUGUUUCUCAUACUAACACAGGCAAUUGUUUCUUAAGUAGAAAGUAGAUUCUCAGUUACAAACUUUAAGGAUUAUUUUACAGUUAGCAAUUCAAAGAAACUACCGAUUAGCUAUUUUAAAUCUUCACUACAAAGAAACAGAAUUUCCAUAUAUAGUUACCACUGGAUAAGAUACAUUUCAUAAAGUCAGCAAUGAGAAGAUGAAAGAAAAUAGUUUUAUUCUCUUUAGAGCUGAAAACACAAAACAAUCCUGAGAGCUUUUCAGCAGUUACAAAUACAGUGUGUUCUUUGGAUGUCAGGGCGAUCUGGUUGCCACAUCUGUCACCCCAUUGAUCGCCAGGGUUGAUUCGGCUGAUCUGGCUGGCUAGGCGGGUGUCCCCUUCCUCCCUCACGGCUCCAUGUGUGUCCCUCCCGAAGCUGCGCGCUCUGUCGAAGAGGACGACCAUCCCCGAUAGAGGAGGACCGUCAUGUAGAGGAAGAGG